GUCUACGGCCAUGCCACCCUGAACAAGCCCGAUCCCCUCUGAUCUCGGAAGUUAAGCAGGGUCGGGUCUGGUUAGCACUUGGAUGGGAGACCACCUAGGAAGACCAAGUGCUGUAGGCA
rnacentral:rRNA from 1 species